rnacentral:sRNA from 1 species
UCAUAUACCUCCGUACGAUGGCCAAAC